rnacentral:rRNA from 1 species
UGGGGAAUUUUGGACAAUGGGGGCAACCCUGAUCCAGCCAUGCCGCGUGUCUGAAGAAGGCCUUCGGGUUGUAAAGGACUUUUGUCAGGGAAGAAAAGCCCCGGGCUAAUACCCCGGGGUGAUGACGGUACCUGAAGAAUAAGCACCGGCUAACUACGUGCCAGCAGCCGCGGUAAUACGUAGGGUGCGAGCGUUAAUCGGAAUUACUGGGCGUAAAGCGGGCGCAGACGGUUACUUAAGCAGGAUGUGAAAUCCCCGGGCUUAACCUGGGAACUGCGUUCUGAACUGGGUGACUAGAGUAUGUCAGAGGGGGGUAGAAUUCCACGUGUAGCAGUGAAAUGCGUAGAGAUGUGGAGGAAUACCGAUGGCGAAGGCAGCCCCCUGGGAUAAUACUGACGUUCAUGCCCGAAAGCGUGGGUAGCAAACAGG